UACGAAGGGUGCAAACGUUGCUCGGAAUUAUUGGGCGUAAAGCGCACGUAGGCGGCUUAGCAAGUCGGAAGUGAAAGCCCUCGGCUCAACCAAGGAAGUGCUUUCGAAACUGCUGAGCUUGAGUAGUUAAGAGGAUCGCGGAAUUCCCGGUGUAGAGGUGAAAAUUCGUAGAUAUCGGGAGGAACACCAGUGGCGAAGGCGGCGAUCUGGGAACAUACUGACGCUGAGGUGCGAAAGCGUGGGGAGCAAACAGGG
rnacentral:rRNA from 1 species